GAUGAACGCUGGCGGCAUGCUUAACACAUGCUAGUCGAACGGCAAGGCUCCUGCUUGCAGGGGUACUCGAAUGGCGAUCGGGUGAGUAACAGGUGGGUGAUCUGCCCUGCACUUCGGGAUAAGCCUGCGCAACUGGGUCUAAUACCGGAUAGGACCACCAUUUGGAUGGUGUGGUGGAAAGUUUCUCGGUGUGGGAUGAGCUCGCGGCCUAUCAGCUUGUUGGUGGGGUAAUGGCCUACCAAGGCGUCGACGGGUAGCCGGCCUGCGCGGGUGUACGGCCACAUUGGGACUGAGGUACGGCCCAGACUCCAACAGGAGCCAGCGGUGGGGAGGAGUGCACAAGGAGCGCAAGCCUGAUGCAGCGACGCGGCGUGGGGAAUGACGGCCUGCGGGUUGUAAACUCCUUACGCUAGGGACGAAGCGCAAGUGACGGUACCUAAAGAAGAAGCACCGGCUAGCUACGUG
rnacentral:rRNA from 1 species